rnacentral:rRNA from 1 species
CUACAGGCUUAACACAUGCAAGUCGAGGGGCAGCAUGGUCUUAGCUUGCUAAGGCCGAUGGCGACCGGCGCACGGGUGAGUAACACGUAUCCAACCUGCCGUCUACUCUUGGACAGCCUUCUGAAAGGAAGAUUAAUACAAGAUGGCAUCAUGAGUCCGCAUGUUCACAUGAUUAAAGGUAUUCUGGUAGACGAUGGGGAUGCGUUCCAUUAGAUAGUAGGCGGGGUAACGGCCCACCUAGUCUUCGAUGGAUAGGGGUUCUGAGAGGAAGGUCCCCCACAUUGGAACUGAGACACGGUCCAAACUCCUACGGGAGGCAGCAGUGAGGAAUAUUGGUCAAUGGGCGCAGGCCUGAACCAGCCAAGUAGCGUGAAGGAUGACUGCCCUAUGGGUUGUAAACUUCUUUUAUAAAGGAAUAAAGUCGGGUAUGCAUACCCGUUUGCAUGUACUUUAUGAAUAAGGAUCGGCUAACUCCGUGCCAGCAGCCGCGGUAAUACGGAGGAUCCGAGCGUUAUCCGGAUUUAUUGGGUUUAAAGGGAGCGUAGAUGGAUGUUUAAGUCAGUUGUGAAAGUUUGCGGCUCAACCGUAAAAUUGCAGUUGAUACUGGAUAUCUUGAGUGCAGUUGAGGCAGGCGGAAUUCGUGGUGUAGCGGUGAAAUGCUUAGAUAUCACGAAGAACUCCGAUUGCGAAGGCAGCCUGCUAA